rnacentral:rRNA from 1 species
AGUGAACGCUGGCGGUAGGCCUAACACAUGCAAGUCGAACGGCAGCACAGGAGAGCUUGCUCUCUGGGUGGCGAGUGGCGGACGGGUGAGGAAUACAUCGGAAUCUACCUUUUCGUGGGGGAUAACGUAGGGAAACUUACGCUAAUACCGCAUACGACCUUCGGGUGAAAGCAGGGGACCUUCGGGCCUUGCGCGGAUAGAUGAGCCGAUGUCGGAUUAGCUAGUUGGCGGGGUAAAGGCCCACCAAGGCGACGAUCCGUAGCUGGUCUGAGAGGAUGAUCAGCCACACUGGAACUGAGACACGGUCCAGACUCCUACGGGAGGCAGCAGUGGGGAAUAUUGGACAAUGGGCGCAAGCCUGAUCCAGCCAUGCCGCGUGGGUGAAGAAGGCCUUCGGGUUGUAAAGCCCUUUUGUUGGGAAAGAAAAGCAGCCAGUUAAUACCUGGUUGUUCUGACGGUACCCAAAGAAUAAGCACCGGCUAACUUCGUGCCAGCAGCCGCCGCCG